rnacentral:rRNA from 1 species
UACGUAGGUGGCAAGCGUUGUCCGGAAUUACUGGGCGUAAAGCGCGCGCAGGCGGCCAUUUAAGUCUGGGGUGAAAGCCCGGAGCUCAACUCCGGGACUGCCUUGGAUACUGGAUGGCUUGAGCAUCGGAGAGGCAAGGGGAAUUCCACGUGUAGCGGUGAAAUGCGUAGAGAUGUGGAGGAACACCAGUGGCGAAGGCGCCUUGCUGGCCGAUUGCUGACGCUGAGGCGCGAAAGCGUGGGGAGCAAACAGG